rnacentral:misc_RNA from 1 species
ACCAAUCACAUUGCUGCAGCAGAUACCUUGGCUCCUGAGAACAUCAAAGUUCUUUACAAAGUUAGGACCGAGAUGCGAGUUGCUAUGCAGAAUCUUUUGAAGAACGAUGGCAUAUUGGUUCUUCCGACGGUUGCAGAUCCUCCUUUAAAAUUAAAGUCAAGGAAAGGUCUAUAUGCUGAAGUUCAUGAUAGAGCAUUUGCUUUAUUGGGCAUUGCCAGCAUGUCAGGAUGUUGUCAGGCUGCCAUUCCUUUUGGAGAACAUGAGAACUAUCCUAUCUCCCUGUCAUUUAUUGCAUCUCACGGGACUGAUAAGUUUCUACUUGACACUGUCUUGGAUAUGUACUCAUCUAUCCAAAAUGAAGUAAGCAUACAAUCCAGUGCAUCUCCAUUACCAGAUACCAAUGGUAGCAUUGAUGCAUCUGAGCUUUUGAAAGAAAAGGGAAAUGCUGCAUAUAAGGGCAAGCAGUGGAACAAAGCUGUAAGCUACUAUACAGAAGCAAUAAAAUUGAAUGACAACGCUACAUAUUAUUCCAACCGGGCAGCUGCUUACUUAGAAUUGGGAUGCUUCCACCAAGCUGAAGAGGACUGUACUAAAGCAAUUUCACUUGAUAAAAAGAAUGUAAAG